GCCGCCAUAGUUUAGUUGGUUAGAUAGUAGGUCUAAUAAGGCCAAGGUCACGGGCUCGAACCUUGCUGGCGACG